UGUGUGUGUGUGUGUGUGUGUGUGUGUGUGUGUGUGUGUGUGUGUGAGAGAGAGAGAGAGAGAGAGAGAGAGAGAGAGAGAGAGAUGAUGGCAUCGACCACCGCAGCGCCAUCCACCACGACGGUCGCAUGGGCAGGGCCGAGUCGACUCGGCGGGUCCCUUCGCCGCUCGGCGGAGACUCGGAAGGUGUUGGCGAUUCUCGCCCAGAAGAAGGCCCAGAAGACUCGUAAGAUAAUAUUGAAGGAGGAUGUGUCGGAGCUGGGGAAGAAGGGGCAGAUGCUCGAGGUGAAGGCCGGGUAUUAUCGCAACUACCUCUUCCCUCUCGGCAAAGCCCAAAUCGUCACUCCUCUCUUGCUCAAGGAGAUGCAAAUGGAGGAGAAGAGAAUAGAGGCCGAAAAAACGCGGGUAAAAGAAGAGGCACAACAACUAGCCCUAGUUUUCCAAACAGUUGGAGCGUUUAAGGUGAAGCGCAAAGGCGGAAAAGGAAAACAAAUCUUCGGAAGUGUUACAGCACAAGAUCUCGUUGAUAUAAUAAAGGCACAACUCAACAGGGAUGUCGACAAAAGGAUCAUCUCCAUACCGGAGAUCCGCGAAACAGGGGAGUACAUUGCCGAGCUUAAGCUUCACCCGGAAGUCACAGCACAAGUGAGAUUGAAUGUGUUUGCGAACUGAGUCGACCUUUUCGAAUCGCUUUCUCUCUGCUAGAGGAAUUCGUCGCGAAGCGCUAUUCCGACAAACUUCAUCUGCUGCUUCCACCUGUAUCUUGGAUGCUUGCAGGUCUGCAUCGCUCGCUUCUUUUUCGUUUCUCGCUCUCAUUUUCUUCACCUAUUUAUACAAAUCUUGCGGUUAGUGAUUGAAAUCAUAUUUCAUAUGCUCAUAAGAACAGAAAUAUUGAGUAAAUCACAAACUGCUUGGUCCUGAGACUUCAGCGAACUGAUGCUUUUGUAAGUUUAGUUCUUGAGAUACUUUUCAAAACUCUUAAAA